rnacentral:rRNA from 1 species
GAUGAACGCUGGCGGCGUGCCUAACACAUGCAAGUCGAGCGAACACACCAUGAGCUUGUUCCUCUGACUUUAGCUGCGGACGGGCGCGUAACACGUACAUAACCUCCCUCUACGACUCGGAUAACUUCGACAUACCGGAGCUAAUACUAGUUCAUAUUGUGAUCCGUAUAGUUCAUUAGAGAAAGACGAUUUUGCUGUCAGUUAUAGAUGGAUCCGCGUCGCAUUAGCUAGUUGGUAAGGUAACGGCACACCAAGGCAACGAUGCGUAGCCGACCUGAGAGGGUGAUAAGCCACACUGGAACUGAGACACGGUCCAGACUACUACGGGAGGCAGCAGUGGGGAGUGUUACGCAAUGGGCGGAAGCAGGACCGAGCAACGCCGCGUGGGGGAUGAAGAUACUGGGAUAGUAAAUCUCUGCUAUUAGUGAAGAACAAAAGUGUAAGUAUCUAUGCACGUCUUGACGGUACCUAAUGAAUAAGGAACGGCUAACUACGUG